rnacentral:ncRNA from 2 species
UAUAUCCUUCAGGGCGGGGCGUGAUUCCCCACCGGCGGUAAAGCCCGCGAGCGUUAUUUUAACGCAUGAACCUGUGUAAUUCAGGUGCCGACAGUAUAGUCUGGAUGAAAGAAGGCGAAC